rnacentral:rRNA from 1 species
AUUGAACGCUGGCGGCAGGCCUAACACAUGCAAGUCGAGCGGAUGAAGGGAGCUUGCUCCUGGAUUCAGCGGCGGACGGGUGAGUAAUGCCUAGGGAUCUGCCUGGUAGUGCGGGAUAACGUCCGGAAACGGGCGCUAAUACCGCAUACGUCCUGAGGGAGAAAGUGGGGGAUCUUCGGACCUCACGCUAUCAGAUGAGCCUAGGUCGGAUUAGCUAGUUGGGGGGGUAAAGGCCUACCAAGGCGACGAUCCGUAACUGGUCUGAGAGGAUGAUCAGUCACACUGGAAGUGAGACACGGUCCAGACUCCUACGGGAGGCAGCAGUGGGGAAUAUUGGACAAUGGGCGAAAGCAUGAUACAGCCAUGCCGCGUGUGUGAAGAAGGUCUUCGGAUUGUAAAGCAGUCUUAGUUGGGAGGAAGGGCAGUAAGUUAAUACCUUGCUGUUUUGACGUUACCAACAGAAUAAGCACCGGCUAACUUCGUG